rnacentral:lncRNA from 1 species
CGGCAUUCGAUAUUGCGAAAGAAGCUGUGUGGCUAUAGAAGUUCAUCAGCAAGUUUGGAGUGACACCCUCCCUCGAUGGUCCUAUUUUAUUGUACUGUGACAGCACUGGUGCCAUUGCUCAAGCGAAAGAACCAAAAUCACAUCAGUGCACCAAAUAUAUUUUGUGCUACUACUAGGGGUGGCAAAUGGGUCGGGUCAUAAACGGAUCAGAUCAGAAAAUGAUCAACCUAAAUCUGACCUGUUUAUUAAAUGGAUCAAAAAUCCAAAUCUGAACCUGACCUGUUUAUUAAAUAGAUAACCCGACCUG